UGAAGACAAGCUCAGGGAACGUUCUGUGCCUCCCUCGCCUGCCUAAAAGGACUCUGAUGCAAAAGCCUGCACCAGGGAUCACCCCUCAUCACAUGCAAAGGGGUGCGGCUCAGGGAGGACCCCUGCCAAAGUCUGUCCCCUGGGUCCCCUCUGUGUCCCCGUUUCCAGGUAGCCUUUCUCACCUACUGUGAAUGGCCCACCUCCCCCUCCACAGUCCAAAAUGACAUAUACACCACCUUUUGCCUCACUGUUUUUGGAAUUUUCAUGCUUGUGUGACUUCCCCGAGUGCAUGUACUAAAAUUUAAAUUUCUCCUGUUAAUCUGCUGUGUGUCACUUGAGUUAUUCGAGCAGCCAGAGGAACGAAAGGGCUGAGGGGACUGUGGCCCGUCUGCUUUCCUUUCAUCCUCAGGGUUUUCUCGAAUGCUUCAUUCACUCCCAAAUCCUUCAAGACGUUUAAAGACUUGGAUUUGCAUUAAGCACACAGAUGAACUGGGGAGCAGUCACGUGAGUAUUCUGCCUGCUGGGCUGGGGACCUGUCAUCUGCCCCACGGCCAUUUCCUCUCCCUCUGACCUCUCCGAGGCCCACGGAGCUCAGACAGUGCUCAUGAAUCUCGUUUGCACGCAGCAUACUGUGUGUUUCUGUUUCGUUCACAUCAGGCUCUGACAGAUACUCCUGGGGAGAAACUGUGUGGACGGACACUUGCCCGUCACUACCUGCUACCAGACGUCCUCUGACCAGUGCCAACGCCCCCAGGACACAGACAAGUGUGUGGGCUGCUCUGGUUCCCAGGGGUCCCACUGUCUACUUGGUGACACAGAGCCACCCGUCUGACAAGAGGACAAGGGUGUGAAGCGGAACCUGCCUCAUUGUUAAACCUCACGUUUGUCUUUAAAAAGUGAGGGGGGGAGAAAGCUGUGACCCACUUUAACUCCAGAGAACCCUAACUGAGGGUAACCAGGCACCCCGUAGAUACACAUGUCCUGUUUCAUGGCUGGGCCCUGCAUUCGAUAUCGCCUUUGUUGUGAUGCCCUCAAUGUUCUGUAGUCAGCGUUUUUCAAUGAAUUACAAACAUUCGGCAGUUGGAGCUAAUUUGCCGCCCGAUAAGUGAGGCCUGAAUCACUGGCUCCACGAGCAGAAAGCUAGACCUGCAGAGAAAAGGGCCUGAUACCCUGCAGGUGGGACUUGUGGGUAAGGGAGAAAAACUCGUUUCUCAUAUUCCAGAAAGGAAGACUGCUGUUUAGCCAAAGAACCAACUCAUAACCAAGUCCCCACCACUAACUGGAGCUAACUGCAAAUGAGUCCCUGACUCAACACCACCAGCCAGCACCGCCUUGCUGAUUCCAGGUUAAAGCAGCCGAACUGGUGAUGCCAAGACUCAGGAAUGCAGCCGAGGAGAACGGCAGCCUGAGAGGCAGCCCACCCGUUAGCGACAGCCCCCUGGGGCCAGCCCUGAGCACUGAGGCUUGGCACAGCCACAGUCCCGAGUACCAGGCCCCCAGAACCUUAGCUCAGAUCAGCUGGGCUUCUGUGGAGAACCCAGGGCCUGGAAAUACAGCUCUCCUGGCAGCAAACGCAAAUGUUUCCAAAAACCCUUUUGAAAUGUUCUAAAGGAAACAAGGAGAAGGGGAAAACCUCAGCAUAUAAAUCUUGGGAGAACAGUCUGUCAAAUUUUUCAUUAAUUUUUUUCUUAAAUUGAAGACUUUAAGAAUAAUUUCUGCUGGAGACCCGAGAUGGCAGAGUGUCUGCUGCCUUCUGUGAACACAUUAAAAUUGCAACUAAAUUAUAGAACAAUCAACCUGGAGAAC